UACAGAGGUGGCAAGCGUUGUUCGGAAUUACUGGGCGUAAAGGGCGCGUAGGUGGCCUUCUUAGUCAGACGUGAAAUCCCCAGGCUUAACCUCGGGAACUGCGUCUGAUACUGGAAGGCUCGAGUUCGGGAGAGGAAUGUGGAAUUCCAGGUGUAGCGGUGAAAUGCGUAGAUAUCUGGAGGAACACCGGUGGCGAAGGCGGCAUUCUGGACCGAAACUGACGCUGAGGCGCGAAAGCCAGGGGAGCAAACGGG
rnacentral:rRNA from 1 species